UACAGAGGGUGCGAGCGUUGUUCGGAAUUAUUGGGCGUAAAGGGCGCGUAGGCGGUGCGGUAAGUCACCUGUGAAAUCUCCUGGCUCAACUGGGAGCUUGCAGGCGAAACUGCCGUGCUGGAGUGUGGGAGAGGUGCGUGGAAUUCCUGGUGUAGCGGUGAAAUGCGUAGAUAUCAGGAGGAACACCUGUGGCGAAGGCGGCUCACUGGCCCGGAACUGACGCUGAGACGCGAAAGCGUGGGGAGCAAACAGG
rnacentral:rRNA from 1 species